rnacentral:rRNA from 1 species
AGAGUUUGAUCCUGGCUCAGAAUGAACGCUGGCGGCGUGCUUAACACAUGCAAGUCGCACGAGAACGCUUCAGCUUGCUGGAGCUAGUAAAGUGGCGCACGGGUGAGUAACGCGUGGGUAAUCUACCUCCGAAUUGGGGAUAACACUGCGAAAGCGGUGCUAAUACCGAAUGACAUCUCAGGGACCUCGGUCUCUAAGAUCAAAGGUGGCCUCUACAUGUAAGCUACUGUUUGGAGAUGAGCCCGCGUACCAUUAGCUAGUUGGUAGGGUAAUGGCCUACCAAGGCUUCGAUGGUUAGCUGGUCUGAGAGGAUGAUCAGCCACACUGGAACUGACACACGGUCCAGACUCCUACGGGAGGCAGCAGUGAGGAAUUUUGCGCAAUGGGGGAAACCCUGACGCAGCAACGCCGCGUGAGUGAUGAAGGCUUUCGGGUCGUAAAGCUCUGUCAAGUGGGAAGAAUAUGCCCUGUGAUAAUACCAUGGGGCACUGAUGGUACCAUUAAAGGAAGCACCGGCUAACUCCGUGCCAGCAGCCGCGGUAAUACGGAGGGUGCAAGCGUUGUUCGGAAUUACUGGGCGUAAAGGGCGUGUAGGCGGUGUGGUAAGUCAGAUGUGAAAGCCCUGGGCUUAACCCAGGAAGUGCAUUUGAAACUGCCACGCUUGAGUAUGGGAGAGGAGAGUGGAAUUCCCAGUGUAGAGGUGAAAUUCGUAGAUAUUGGGAGGAACACCCGUGGCGAAGGCGACUCUCUGGACCAAUACUGACGCUGAGGCGCGAAAGCGUGGGGAGCAAACAGGAUUAGAUACCCUGGUAGUCCACGCCGUAAACGAUGAGCACUAGGUGUAGCGGGUAUUGACCCCUGCUGUGCCGUAGCUAACGCAUUAAGUGCUCCGCCUGGGGAGUACGGCCGCAAGGCUAAAACUCAAAGGAAUUGACGG